rfam:Ictidomys tridecemlineatus contig038134, whole genome shotgun sequence.
UGGGAUGUAGCUCAGUGGGGGAGCACUUGCCUCACAAGUACAAGGGCCUGGGUUCAAUUCCCAGCACCACAA